rfam:Rhizobiales bacterium TMED29 16972, whole genome shotgun sequence.
GCACCCGUAGCUCAGCUGGAUAGAGCGCUGCCCUCCGAAGGCAGAGGUCAGAGGUUCGAAUCCUCUCGGGUGCG